AGUCGAGCGGUAACAGAAAGUAGCUUGCUACUUUGCUGACGAGCGGCGGACGGGUGAGUAAUGCUUGGGAACAUGCCUUGAGGUGGGGGACAACAGUUGGAAACGACUGCUAAUACCGCAUAAUGUCUACGGACCAAAGGGGGCUUCGGCUCUCGCCUUUAGAUUGGCCCAAGUGGGAUUAGCUAGUUGGUGAGGUAAUGGCUCACCAAGGCGACGAUCCCUAGCUGGUUUGAGAGGAUGAUCAGCCACACUGGGACUGAGACACGGCCCAGACUCCUACGGGAGGCAGCAGUGGGGAAUAUUGCACAAUGGGCGCAAGCCUGAUGCAGCCAUGCCGCGUGUGUGAAGAAGGCCUUCGGGUUGUAAAGCACUUUCAGUCAGGAGGAAAGGUUAGUAGUUAAUACCUGCUAGCUGUGACGUUACUGACAGAAGAAGCACCGGCUAACUCCGUGCCAGCAGCCGCGGUAAUACGGAGGGUGCGAGCGUUAAUCGGAAUUACUGGGCGUAAAGCGUACGCAGGCGGUUUGUUAAGCGAGAUGUGAAAGCCCCGGGCUCAACCUGGGAACUGCAUUUCGAACUGGCAAACUAGAGUGUGAUAGAGGGUGGUAGAAU
rnacentral:rRNA from 1 species